rnacentral:rRNA from 1 species
UACGAAGGGUGCAACCGUUGCUCGGAAUUAUUGGGCGUAAAGCGCACGUAGGCGGCAUUGCAAGUCGGAUGUGAAAUCCCUCGGCUUAACCAAGGAAGUGCAUCCGAAACUGCAGUGCUUGAGUACUUAAGAGGAUCGCGGAAUUCUUGGUGUAGCGGUGAAAUGCGUAGAUAUCAAGAGGAACACCUGAGGUGAAGACGGGUUGCUGGGCUGACACUGACGCUGAGGCGCGAAAGCCAGGGGAGCAAACGGG